rnacentral:rRNA from 1 species
CACGUAGGGCGCGAGCGUUGUCCGGAAUUAUUGGGCGUAAAGAGCUCGUAGGCGGUCUGUCGCGUCGGAUGUGAAAAUCAGGGCUCAACCCUGGACCUGCAUUCGAUACGGGCAGACUAGAGUUCGGCAGGGGAGACUGGAAUUCCUGGUGUAGCGGUGAAAUGCGCAGAUAUCAGGAGGAACACCGAUGGCGAAGGCAGCUCGCUGGGACGGUACUGACGC